AACGAACGCUGGCGGCAGGCUUAACACAUGCAAGUCGAGCGCCCCGCAAGGGGAGCGGCAGACGGGUGAGUAACGCGUGGGAAUCUACCGAGCCCUAAGGAAUAGCUCCGGGAAACUGGAAUUAAUACCUUAUACGCCCUUUGGGGGAAAGAUUUAUCGGGAUUUGAUGAGCCCGCGUUGGAUUAGCUAGUUGGUGGGGUAAAGGCCUACCAAGGCGACGAUCCAUAGCUGGUCCGAGAGGAUGAUCAGCCACAUUGGGACUGAGACACGGCCCAAACGCCUACGGGAGGCAGCAGUGGGGAAUAUUGGACAAUGGGCGCAAGCCUGAUCCAGCCAUGCCGCGUGAGUGAUGAAGGCCUUAGGGUUGUAAAGCUCUUUCACCGGAGAAGAUAAUGACGGUAUCCGGAGAAGAAGCCCCGGCUAACUUCGUGCCAGCAGCCGCCGUAAGAC
rnacentral:rRNA from 1 species